rnacentral:tRNA from 1 species
GCCGACUUAGCUCAGCUGGCAGAGCACUAGACUUGUAAUCUUGAGGUCGUCAGUUCGAUUCUGACAGUCGGCU